rnacentral:lncRNA from 10 species
UCAAUAAAUUCUAGCUGUCGUUAGGCAUUACUAUUAUUUCGACUCAUUUCAUUCUCACAGCAACCCAGCAAGGCUUCUCUGUUGCCCUCAGGAUGGCCCACAGCCCAUUGCUUUGCCCUUGGUCUCACAUUGGAUCCUCAGCCACACAGCCUCAUUGCCAGCCUCCUGUCCCUCAAACAUGCUGUUCCUCCUUCCUGGACAACUUUGCCCAGCACUUACUCAGCAUGCAGGUCUCAGCUUCAGCAGAACCUCCUCCAGGAGGAACCUCUUCUCUUGAGUUCCUGAGAGCCUCUCUUGUUCUCCUGAGUCCUCAACCUAUGUGCUAUCUUUGCCUGGUCACCAUCAGCUCUUUGAUAUAGACCUGGGAUGCGGCUGUUGUUGCCUAUCUCAGUGCCUAGCAAGCUGUAGGAAUUGUUGGGUAAGCGAUUGAAUGAGGGAGUGAGGGAGUGAAGAGCACAGUGAGGGGUCCCCAGGCCCAGCCCUCCCUCCCCACCCUGCCGGUAAUGUAUUUCUUUCUUUGGGACUUGCCCAAAGCCAAUACUUGUCUGGACUGAGCUGGGGAAGGUGGAGGAGGCAAGUGCUCAGGGACUUCUCAGGGCAUUUUAUUCCUGAAAGGGAGCCAGUAGGCAGAGGUUACACCCUGGAGCAAGAGCGUUCUGGGCAUCUGCUGCGGCAGGUUCCCUACUCAGAAUGGGGGUUAGGAAAAGUAGGCUUCUAAGGUGGCCCUGAGGUCACACAGCAUACUAAACUGAUGCUGUAGACUAACAUGGAAUAAC